GGGCUGGGCUGGGCCGGCCCGCUCCGGCGCCGGGGACCACGCGCGACUGGUUAGAUCUUGUCGUGAUCUCUGGAAAACUGUGACUAUCUCACAUGCCCUGCCCUGCUCGGAUCCCCUGCGCUAACGAGCCAGGCCCCCCUUGAUUGCUGAUUUUACGCUUUUUGGACCAAUUGUGGGUCUCCGGGGGCGGGGUUUUGACAGCUCAGGCCAAGCUCCGGCCGGGAGGGGGGGCCGGGGAGAAGGUGUCGGAAGCCUCAGCAGUAAGAAAACAUGUCAACGGAAUAAAAUAUUAACCAAUGACGGCCCGGCGGGCCCGAGACCCCUCCCCCUGGCCGGGCCCCCACCCCGCCGCCCGCGCCCGCGGCUCCCGAGCGCGGACUGGGAAGCGUGGAGGGCCGACCUGACCCGCCGAAAGGGCCGAGGCGGGGGGCGCCGGGGCCGAGGGCCUCAGGGAAGGACCCCUAGCCGCGUGCCGGCCCCAAGUGCAAAGCAUUGACACGUCCCCGAGAGGAGAGGGGGCGCCCUCCUUCUCCCGCGCCCGGAAGCCCGGCCGCUCGGGCCGGCGCCCCAGCCUGGCCUCCGACUUGGCUCCCGGUCGCCGCCCGGGUCCCCGCGCUCCACAGGGAGGCUGCGGGCGCUGGAAAGCGAGGCCGGUGGGCGGGCGAGUCGGGAGGCUCGGGCGGCUGAGGUCCCGGAGCGGAACCCAGGUGGCGGGAGCUGAGGCCACAAAAACCCCUCUUAGGAGCAAAUGGCUCCAGUGGCACGCCAGAGAUAGAAGCCCGAGAGGAAGAGACCCACGGUCUGGAGCCACGGUUUGCCCGUUCUUCCCCAGCCUGGUGUGGGAUGCAGCAGAUGCCUACAGCCAGCCUGCCUGCUGCAACCAGGCAGAGUGCACGGGGCCACGGAGCCGGAAGUCCUUGGGAGAAGACACGGAAGGCAUUUUGUAA
rnacentral:lncRNA from 1 species